UGGGGAAUAUUGGACAAUGGGCGAAAGCCUGAUCCAGCGACGCCGCGUGUGUGAAGAAGGCCUGCGGGUUGUAAAGCACUUUCGAUGGGAACGAAAUGUGCCGGGUUAAUACCCCGGUAAGCUGACGUUACUCAAUGAAGAAGCACCGGCUAACUCUGUGCCAGCAGCCGCGGUAAUACGUAGGGUGCAAGCGUUAAUCGGAAUUACUGGGCGUAAAGCGUGCGCAGGCGGUUAUGCAAGACAGGUGUGAAAUCCCCGGGCUUAACCUGGGAAUUGCGCUUGUAACUGGCAGGCUAGAGUGUGGCAGAGGGGGGUGGAAUUCCACGUGUAGCAGUGAAAUGCGUAGAUAUGUGGAGGAACACCGAUGGCGAAGGCAGCCCCCUGGGUUAACACUGACGCUCAUGCACGAAAGCGUGGGGAGCAAACAGGAUUAGAUACCCACGUAGUCCCUGAGCGGGCUGGCAAGGCGCAU
rnacentral:rRNA from 1 species